GAUGAACGCUGGCGGCGUGCCUAAUACAUGCAAGUCGAGCGAAUGGAUUAAGAGCUUGCUCUUAUGAAGUUAGCGGCGGACGGGUGAGUAACACGUGGGUAACCUGCCCAUAAGACUGGGAUAACUCCGGGAAACCGGGGCUAAUACCGGAUAACAUUUUGAACCGCAUGGUUCGAAAUUGAAAGGCGGCUUCGGCUGUCACUUAUGGAUGGACCCGCGUCGCAUUAGCUAGUUGGUGAGGUAACGGCUCACCAAGGCACCGAUGCCUAGCCGACCUGAGAGGGUGAGCGGCCACACUGGGACUGAGACACGGCCCAGACUCCUACGGGAGGCAGCAGUAGGGAAUCUUCCGCAAUGGACGAAAGUCUGACGGAGCAACGCCGCGUGAGUGAUGAAGGCUUUCGGGUCGUAAAACUCUGUUGUUAGGGAAGAACAAGUGCUAGUUGAAUAAGCUGGCACCUUGACGGUACCUAACCAGAAAGCCACGGCUAACUACGUGCCAGCAGCCGCCGUAA
rnacentral:rRNA from 1 species